UUGCCUGCUCAGGUGUCUGCAU
rnacentral:siRNA from 1 species